rnacentral:rRNA from 1 species
CWGAAGGUUUUCGGAUCGUAAAGCUCUGUUGUUAGGGAAGAACAAGUGCCGUUCAAAUAGGGCGGCACCUUGCGGUACCUAACCAGAAGCCACGGCUAACUACGUGCCAGCACCGCGGUAAUAYGUAGGUGGCAAGCGUGUCCGGAAUUAUUGGGCGUAAAGGGCUCGCAGGCGGUUUCUUAAGUCUGAUGUGAAAGCCCCCGGCUCAACCGGGGAGGGUCAUUGGAACUGGGGAACUUGAGUGCAGAAGAGGAGAGUGGAAUUCCAYGUGUAGCGGUGAAAUGCGUAGAGAUGUGGAGGAACACCAGUGGCGAAGGCGACUCUCUGGUCKGUAACUGACGCUGAGGAGCGAAAGCGUGGGGAGCGAACAGGAUUAGAUACCCUGGUAGUCCACGCCGUAAACGAUGAGAUAAGUGUUAGGGGGUUUCCGCCCCUUUAGUGCUGCAGCUAACSGCAUUUAAACAUCCCG